CGGAACCGCAAAGUAACGAUCUGGUUGGCAGUGUUAGCACAGUCCAUUCACCUUAUAAGUUUAUAACUAAAAUUCGUCUAGACCAUUUGUGUCGGAAUAUAACCAUAGGACAUAGAGGUUAGAGGACAACUAUUUUAUGGUGCAUCGAAUUAUUAUUAUCUAGCACAUUGCGAAAGGAUAAUCGAAAUAUCCAAGAGGAGGUCGGCUGGGUUUGGCUGCGGCGACUACGGCGAGGCGGCGGUACCAGGAAUCGCGGCUGCGGUUCGCACAGCGCAAUUGUAUUUUAAACACGGUCGUUGUCCGACGGCGGCGUCAGUGGCAGCAGCAGGAGCUGUACUAUAACUAAGUUAAAGAAUAAUUCCGAGAACAUCUAUUUUAAUUGAAUAAUUGAAUAGUUCCAUCUACCUCCCAACUACCUACGACAAAAAAAAUCGAAAUGAGAGUCGCAGAGCUUAAUAUUAUAUAGUCAAAAGAAUAACCGCUAUAUAAGAAAAUAAUAUUAAACACAUUAUAUUAUACUCUAAAGUCAGUAUAGUCUAUAUAGUAUACAGACUACGGACAAAAUCCAAUAAACUCACUGAUACCACCCUUGCGCGAGUAACUGUUCUUUUAUUGUCGGUCUCGUAUCGAAAAGUUUGAGGUUUUGCACCCACAAAUUAUUACGUUUUUGGAAUAAAUCUAGUUUAGGACCCCAUCAAAUGUUUUUUUCCUGAAGUCUGAACCUUUUCUGUGUCUAUGUAUACGAUAGAACUAAUUAAAAUGUGACUUGGAAAUCAUUAGAUUUUAAGUCAAGCGUGGAAAUGUACUUUUGUAUCUAUCUAAGUGCCUUAUUUUCAGUGUUUUUUUGUACCAUGUGGCCAAUUCACAGAGGGCGUAAAAACUAUAUUUAAUUUGUAACUAAACAAACCAGACAACGUCGCUUGCUCGGACAGUUUAAAAUUUAAAUAACAAACGUCCACCGAGUUGUUAAGCAAAACCAACUACGGUACUUAACAGGGUAAAAACAAAUGUCUUUUGAUUUUAAUUAAUCAAUUGUAAGUGUUGUAGAGAAGUUAAUACAAAAAAAACUGUUUUUUUCAUGAUUUUUGCACAAUAUAAUUAAAAACUAAUACAUAGUUUCUGCAAAACUGUGGUUAGUUCCAGUAAACUUUGAGAGGUCCUACACUAGAUGUAUUGUGUAUGCUUACAGUAAACCAGGUUUUGCAAUGUAAUUUUUAUAUAUUUAUUUAUUGUAAUAAACGGAUACGACUCUUUGGUUUUGGUACAUGCAUAUAAUAUAAUUAAUGUACUCGCCUACUUCUAUUUACCUAUUGACUGUUUUUUUUUUUUAAUUAAAUGAAUAUAGAAUAUAAUACAGUGGUCGCCGCUUAUUGGACUCACGGUUAAUUGACUCAUUCGCAUAUUAGACUCAAAACGGUUGGUCCCGAUUCGCACGGUUAGGUUAGGUUAGGUUUUUGAGUCAUUCGCCUUAUUGACUCAUUCGGUUAAUUGACUCAAAUUGUAGGGUCCCAAAGUGAGUCCAAUAAGCGGCGACUACUGUAUAUUAUCCACCUAUCCAAUAGGACAAUAGGUGACCUAUAUAAUAUGUAAGCCCAGAAAUUACAACGCCAUAGUGUGAAAUAUGCGUGUCAAUAAUAUUGUACCGAUGACGUUGUAAAUGGCGACAUGUAAUUGGAAAUGGUCGAAUGUAUAAACCAUAAAUUGCAGGUACAUUGGUCGUCAGUCGUCACGCAAUUGAUUCGUGUUAGUAAAUUAUAAUGAACUGACCUCAAGAAUAACGCGUUGUACUGCCGUGUACGUCACAAUUUUCGUUUACGUUGUCCAGGUUGACAAAUUAAAUUACUUGAGCAUUAUAUGAACUGCAUAGAAUCAAUUUGAAUUAGGCAUUAGAAGAGUAUGAAUUAGAGGCUUAGUUAGUCCUCAUCCCUUUGGAAGUGUUACAUGUGUUUCGUAUAUAAUAUAUGUAAUGUAUGUUAAUAUUUAAUCAAUGCUAGUACGUCUUAAUUAUAUUCUUA